ACGGAGGGUGCGAGCGUUGUCCGGAAUCACUGGGCGUAAAGGGCGCGUAGGCGGCCCGAUAAGUAGGAGGUGAAAUCCUGCGGCUUAACCGCAGGGCUGCCUUCUAAACUGUCAGGCUAGAGCACGGUAGAGGCAGAUGGAAUUCCCGGUGUAGCGGUGGAAUGCGUAGAGAUCGGGAAGAACAUCAGUGGCGAAGGCGGUCUGCUGGGCCGUUGCUGACGCUGAGGCGCGACAGCGUGGGGAGCAAACAGGAUUAGAUACCCUGGUAGUCCACGCCGUAAACGAUGGGCACUAGGCGUCGGGGGGAGCGACCCUCCCGGUGCCGUCGCUAACGCAGUAAGUGCCCCGCCUGGGGAGUACGGCCGCAAGGCUG
rnacentral:rRNA from 1 species